rnacentral:lncRNA from 1 species
CCUCAUCAAAUACCCUUCCGCCUCACUGAGAAGAGCUCAGCGGUGAAUAGAUAAGGGAGCUCCAUUGGAGCUAAUCUUCUGGGAGGAAGAAGAGAAAGAGUAGAAGAGAAACGGUAGAGGAGAAGAGAGGAGAGGAGCUCCCAUGGCCGCCUCCCCGGCUUCGGCCCACCACCUCCUCCUCCUCCUCCGCUCCCGCCCGCGCGCCACC